GGUUAAGCGACUAAGCGUACACGGUGGAUGCCCUGGCAGUCAGAGGCGAUGAAGGGCGUGCUAAUCUGCGAUAAGCGCCGGUAAGGUGAUAUGAACCGUUAUAACCGGCGAUACCCGAAUGGGGAAACCCAGUGUGAUUCGUCACACUAUCAUUAACUGAAUCCAUAGGUUAAUGAGGCGAACCGGGGGAACUGAAACAUCUAAGUACCCCGAGGAAAAGAAAUCAACCGAGAUUCCCCCAGUAGCGGCGAGCGAACGGGGAGGAGCCCAGAGCCUGAAUCAGCAUGUGUGUUAGUGGAAGCGUCUGGAAAGGCGCGCGAUACAGGGUGACAGCCCCGUACACAAAAGCGCAUAUGCUGUGAGCUCGAUGAGUAGGGCGGGACACGUGGUAUCCUGUCUGAAUAUGGGGGGACCAUCCUCCAAGGCUAAAUACUCCUGACUGACCGAUAGUGAACCAGUACCGUGAGGGAAAGGCGAAAAGAACCCCGGCGAGGGGAGUGAAAAAGAACCUGAAACCGUGUACGUACAAGCAGUGGGAGCCCCACCACUAAGCCAGUGGUGAACUCCACAUACGCAUCCUUUGCUGAGGAUACGGUUAACGGAGCGAAAGCGACGUUCAACC
rnacentral:rRNA from 1 species